ACAACCAGCUGUGCGAUUCCUCAUGUCCCAUGAACUGGAAGUCCAGUUCAACCUUUUUGGCCAACAUUGGAAACAAGCUCUUGGACCUGCGUCUCUUUGAUGUUUUGUAUGGGGACUUAAAAGAAAUUAUCCAUCUACAGAAUCACACAAGCAUACAGCAAAGACUCUCGAAGUGGUUUACUGGAGCCCGAGUGGAAGUGGAAAUAGACUAGAGAGACUGCCAGUUCAAACUCAGGUUGGGGAGGUCUUUCAAGAUGGACAGUUUCAGUAAAGUAUGAGAGAUUUCAAAUUUAAGCAUGCAUAUGGCAUGUAGGUUAUUUUUAAAAAUGUUUAACAAAAAUGUAUUGUGAAAGAUCUAUAUAGGUGUGUAUAUUCACAUUGUGUGUAUCAAUGUGAAUAUACGUGUAUAAAGUUAUAUAGAUAGUAUUUAGAUGUAUACAUUUAUAGACCUGUAGGAAAAUAUGUAGGUGUCUUUAUUUGUGUGCAUCUAUAGAUAUAUAUUUAUAGAUCUGUUUAUAAGUUUGUUAUAGUAAACUAGCUUCUGUUAUUUUCAAAGAUGUCGUGAAUAAUUGCAGAUUUCUUUUUGUGGCACCAUUCCCUGAGUAUUAAUGAAGUUCUAAUAAUUGCUGUAGUGAGGUAAAAAAUAACUCCUGACAAUAUUUUAAAUUACUAAAUAAAAGCCUUGAGCAAAAUAAA